GGCCUCGUAGCUCAGCUGGUAGAGCGUACGCGUACAAAGCGUAGGCGGCAUCCAUGCUUGGGUUCGAAUCCCACCGAAGCUA
rfam:Echinostoma caproni strain Egypt genome assembly, scaffold: ECPE_scaffold0020671